AUUUUGAACCGCAUGGUUCAAAAGUGAAAGACGGUCUUGCUGUCACUUAUAGAUGGAUCCGCGCUGCAUUAGCUAGUUGGUAAGGUAACGGCUUACCAAGGCAACGAUGCAUAGCCGACCUGAGAGGGUGAUCGGCCACACUGGAACUGAGACACGGUCCAGACUCCUACGGGAGGCAGCAGUAGGGAAUCUUCCGCAAUGGGCGAAAGCCUGACGGAGCAACGCCGCGUGAGUGAUGAAGGUCUUCGGAUCGUAAAACUCUGUUAUUAGGGAAGAACAUAUGUGUAAGUAACUGUGCACAUCUUGACGGUACCUAAUCAGAAAGCCACGGCUAACUACGUGCCAGCAG
rnacentral:rRNA from 1 species